rnacentral:tRNA from 1 species
GCCCGAAUGGCGAAAUCGGUAGACGCAAGGGACUUAAAAUCCCUCGCCAGUUACUGGCGUGCCGGUUCAAAUCCGGCUUCGGGCA